UACGUAGGGGGCAAGCGUUGUUCGGAAUUAUUGGGCGUAAAGAGCUCGUAGGCGGUUUGUCGCGUCGAAUGUGAAAACCCGGGGCUCAACCCCGGGCCUGCAUUCGAUACGGGCAGACUAGAGUUCGGUAGGGGAGUCUGGAAUUCCUGGUGUAGCGGUGAAAUGCGCAGAUAUCAGGAGGAACACCGGUGGCGAAGGCGGGACUCUGGGCCGAUACUGACGCUGAGGCACGAAGGCCAGGGGAGCAAACGGG
rnacentral:rRNA from 1 species